rnacentral:tRNA from 1 species
GGCCGGAUAGCUUAGAGGUCAAAGCUUUUCCGAGCCGUGGAAGUGACCCAGGUUCGACUCCUGGUCCAGCCG